UGAUUCAAGAUAGAAUUCGUUCUCAAAGGUUUUAUUGUGUUAUCGAAGAUGGUGUAAAUCCAUCGCUGUACCCGCAACUGUGAAUGAACUGAUGUUUAUUUUUACAAUAAAUAUUAAAUCAAAGUCAGAUAGCUAACGAACAAAACUAUACUUA
rnacentral:ncRNA from 2 species